rnacentral:rRNA from 1 species
GAUGAACGCUAGCUACAGGCUUAACACAUGCAAGUCGAGGGGCAGCAUUGGAGUAGCAAUACUUCAGAUGGCGACCGGCGCACGGGUGAGUAACACGUAUCCAACCUGCCGCUUACUCGGGGAUAGCCUUUCGAAAGAAAGAUUAAUACCCGAUGGUAUAAAGAGUUCGCAUGUUCUCUUUAUUAAAGAAUUUCGGUAAGCGAUGGGGAUGCGUUCCAUUAGAUAGUUGGCGGGGUAACGGCCCACCAAGUCUACGAUGGAUAGGGGUUCUGAGAGGAAGGUCCCCCACAUUGGAACUGAGACACGGUCCAAACUCCUACGGGAGGCAGCAGUGAGGAAUAUUGGUCAAUGGACGCGAGUCUGAACCAGCCAAGUAGCGUGAAGGAUGACUGCUCUAUGGGUUGUAAACUUCUUUUAUAAGGGAAUAAAGUGAGGGACGUGUCCCUUUUUGUAUGUACCUUAUGAAUAAGGAUCGGCUAACUCCGUGCCAGCAGCCGCAGUAAUAC